rnacentral:ncRNA from 2 species
AAUAUGGUACAGAGGUUGCGGUUGUCAUAAGUAAUGUAUAUUUAAAAUACAAGAAAGGGUCAUCCGCCGAAGUUUACAAGCUUUAAUGUUUGUAUACUGGGACUAUGCUGAACAAGUAUAGUACUGUCUUUAGGAAAUUGCCCGAUUUUUUAAAGAAGUGCUUAUCAUAUU